CUUAUCAUGAGUUUGACUGUGGCUCGGAGUGAACGCGAGCGGUAUGUCUUGACACAUGCGAAUUGUACGUAAAUUUAAAUAAAUUUAAGUAGUGUAAGGGUGAGUAAUACAUUAAUAGUUGUCGUAAAGUUUAGAAAAAAAUUCUAAAUAAAGACGGUUGUGGAUCUUUUAAUAAGAAUAGGAUGUUACAGCUAUUAUAACAUGUUAAACAUUUAACAUGUUAUAAUAACGGUAAUUAAUUCCACAAAUAGUUAAUAAUUAUAAAACAACUCGGGGUAGUUUUAUAGUAACUAUUAUAUUUAACCAUCUUGUAAAGUAAGAAACGCUUUUCGGUACUAUGAGUGUUAAGGUAGGAAUGUAGUGAGAGCUAAUCCGAAGACCUUUAGCUGGGUUGUGAGACUGUCCAGUCACAUGGGAGCUGAAAAACAUCCCACCGUUGGCAGCAGUGGGGAAUCUUGGUCAAUAAACGAAAGUUUGAACCAGCAUACUGCGUAAGGUGAAAAGUUGUAUUGUAUAACUGUGAAGGCUACGAAAGCUGUAAAGCCUGUCUGCUAGUUAAAAUAAUGAUAUUACACAUGUGAAAAUCCCGGGCUAAGAAGGUGCCAGCAGCUGCGGUAAUACCUUAUCGGGGGAGCGUUAUUGGCCUUUACUGAGCGUAUAGUAUGGCUAGAUUGUUUAAGAAGUUGUAAUGAAAAUCGAAAAUUUAAUUGACUAAUUUACAAAACCUUAAUACUAGAGAUAAUAACAAGUUUAUAACCCUUAUAGUAUAGAGAUAAAAUAUAAAAAUACUGUCAGGGGUUCUCAACGGCCUCGGCAAUAUUCUAUUAUUAUCUGACGUCGAACCAUUUAAGUAUAAGUAUCGAAUAGGAUUUGAGACCCUAGUAGUUUAUACCGUGAAUCAAUGGGUAUCACACAUAAGUCAAUUUAGUCUUGAGUGUACGUUAACGCUUGAAUACCUCGCUUGGAGAGUAAGGCUGCAAAGGUUAAACUUAAACAGAUUGGCGGGAGUUUGUUUGAACGGUGGAGCGUGUGGAUUAAUUCGAUAAUCCGCGCCUAAUCUUACCAACGUAUUGGAAAAUUUUAAUGUAAUAUUUAACGGUAAAUAACGAAAAAUUUUGAAUUGGUACUGCAUGGCUGUCGUAAGCUCGUGUUGUAAAACGUCCUAUUAAUUUAUACAACGAACGCAACCUUGUAUAUAAGUUUUCUUAAAAAUUUUAAUAAAGAUACUUUAAUUAAAUUAUAUUUUAUAUUUAGAUAAUAAUUUAAUAAAGCUUAUUAAAUUUUUUUUAACUUGUACACACAACAAAGUUAGUAAAAAAAUCUUAUUUAUAAAUAAAAAUAACCGACUUUGGGGGAGUAGAGAAGAAGUCAAGUCAUUAUGGUCUAUAUAUGUUGGGCUUCACAUGCGCUACAAUGGUGAAUACAAAUAGAUAUAAAAGUGUGAACGAUAAUAAAUCUAAAAAAAUCAUCUAAGUCCGGAUUAUAGACUGAAACUCGUCUGUAUCAAGUCGGAAUCGUUAGUAAUCGUGAAUCAGCACGUCACGGUGAAUGAUCUGUCAAACUUUGCACACACCGCCCAUCACGCUCGAAGAGUCGCAUUGGCUGGACACUCACUUUUUAAUAAUACACGAAGAUAUAACUCUAUAUUGAAACUUUAUAUAAAUUUACAUAAAUUUAUACCAAAAGUGUUUGUCUAUUAAGAAAGUUAAAAUUAAAUUUUUAAUUUCCGAACGUAAACAUCUUUAUAGCUUAGUAUUGUUAUUUUUUUGGUGGAUAAGGUUUUAGAUUUUAAAACACGAAACACGUAUUAUAUUUUUGGUAGUUAAGGAGAGUGUGGUAAUUUGAGCGAAGUUGAAACAAGGUAAUAGUAGGGGAACCUGUUGUUGGAGUACACAUAUU
rnacentral:rRNA from 1 species